AGGAGGUUGGCUUAGAAGCAGCCAUCCUUUAAAGAAAGCGUAAUAGCUCACUGGUCGAGUCGUCCUGCGCGGAAGAUGUAACGGGGCUAAGCCAGUCACCGAAGCUGCGGAUAUGUCUUAUGACAUAUGGUAGGAGAGCGUUCUGUAAGCCUGCGAAGGUGUCUUGUAAAGGAUGCUGGAGGUAUCAGAAGUGCGAAUGCUGACAUGAGUAGCGAUAAAGAGGGUGAGAGACCCUCUCGCCGAAAGACCAAGGGUUCCUGCGUAAAGCUAAUCUGCGCAGGGUUAGUCGGCCCCUAAGGCGAGGCCGAAAGGCGUAGUCGAUGGGAACCAGGUUAAUAUUCCUGGGCCGUGGAGUGGUGACGGAU
rnacentral:rRNA from 1 species